UACGUAGGGGGCUAGCGUUGUCCGGAAUCAUUGGGCGUAAAGAGCGUGUAGGCGGCCCGGUAAGUCCGCUGUAAAAGUCAAAGGCUCAACCUUUGAAUGUCAGUGGAUACUGCCGGGCUAGAGUCCGGAAGAGGCGAGUGGAACUCCUGGUGUAGCGGUGGAAUGCGCAGAUAUCAGGAGGAACACCGAUAGCGAAGGCAGCUCGCUGGGACGGUACUGACGCUGAGGCGCGAAAGGCGUGGGGGAGCGAACAGG
rnacentral:rRNA from 1 species